rnacentral:rRNA from 2 species
UCCGUAGGUGAACCUGCGGAAGGAUCACU